rnacentral:lncRNA from 1 species
UCUAUUGAGAUACAUGGUAAACUUGUUUCGAAUUCCUCACGAAGAACUUUAUGCCGUAGUUACAACUGGUGGAAGUUUUAGUAACUUGCUUGGCUCACUCAUUCCUCGAACUCACUUCCAGAAUCCCAUUUUAUAUAUAAGUGAUGAUGCUCAUUACUCUAUUAUCAAAUAGUCCAGAAUACUAAAUAUCUACUACAUCAUCAUAAGGAGUCAAGACUCGGGAGAGAUCGACUAUGAAGAUCUUGAAAAACAAGUGAUUGGCAACAUUAAUCGCCCAGUUAUCAUUAAUUUGAAUAUUGGAACGACGUUGAAGGGUGAUGUUGACAACAUUAAAAAAGCAAAAAUAAUUUUCAGGAAGUUAAAACUGACCAAAAAUCCUAUAUACUGGGAUGCAGCACUGGAUGGGGGUUUUCUACCCCUAAUUAACAAUGCUCCACUGUACGGUUUUGACCUAGGCAUUGACCCUGUAUCCAUUUCAAUGCAUAAAUACCUUGGAGUUCCAAUUCCCUGUAGUAUAUUUUUGACACGAUGGCAUUGUGGUUGCCCUCUCUGGGUAUGCGAUUAUUGGACAGAGAACUAUAACUCCAA